UUUUAAACUAUUUAUUUGUUUUAUGUGUGUGUGGUUGAGUGUAUAUAUGUGUAUCAUGUGCAUGCAGGAGCUCACAGAUUUCAGAGGAGUGCAUCAGAUUCCCUGGAAUUAGAGUUACAGAUGGCUGUGAGCUGCCCUGUGUGCUGGGACUUGAACCUGGGUCCUCUGCAAGAGCAAUAAAAGGAUCCUCUGAAGAUGGUGGUGACCAGAAGUCAUUAAUUUGAGCAGAUUGGCCUUAAAAGAGGAUCUUGAAGAUUGAAGAAAGAAGCUUAAAGAUGAAAAAAUAAUGUAGGCUCAUUUACAGAUUCCCAGGUGAGGGAAGUUCAUAGCUUGAUUAGCAUGCCGGAUACUAGUGUGACAUUGAAUUUGCUGCUCAAGCCCAAGGGGCUCCUUGAAGAAAAGAACAGCCGCAAAGAUCAGCUGUGAGGGAGCCCCGCCUACUGCCUGAUGUGUGGCAUCCUCUGCUGGAGACAGGCUAGCUUUGAACCCACCUUUUCCUUGUGAUCACCCCAGAAGAUGCCUGUGUUCGUGCUUGACUUCUGGUCUCAUUCCCACCUGCAGUGAUCACAGGAACCCUAGGCGUGGGACAAGUGUGAUAAAGCAAAGACCUACCAGCUCUGGAAUGAGACAGGUAGGAACCUGAUUCUGUUCCACAUGAAUUGAGGUUCUUUUCUUCUCUGUAUCUAAUUCUUAGAUCCACUGUGUUCAAUCUGUAUGUUGAAUACUUAAUGAGCACCUACUGUGUAUAACUGUUGUCAUACAUUAAAGCCUAUCUGUAGCACGAAUUGUUAGAAGGUCUUACUAAUAAAAUCAAACCUGAAGCCAGGUAUUGGGGUGAAUGCUGGAAGAUCAGAGAGACAAAACAGGCCACAGCUAACCUCACCUGGCCAACUUCUCAGCCCAUCCUGUUUCCUCAAACUGGAAGCCACUGUGUCCUCAUAUGAAUGGAUCUCAGCUGAACUGCUGCUCAAAAGCCUAAAAGCUCAACCAGCUCUAGUUCCUGGUUUUCAUACCUUAUAUACCUUUCUGCCAUCACUUCUUGGGAUUAAUCCCAGUCACCAUGCCUGGCUGUUCCCAGUGUGACUUUGAACUCACAGAGAUCUAGAUGGAUCUCUGCCUCCCAAGUGAUAGGAUUAAAGGCGUGUGUGCCACCAUUUUCUGGCCUCUAUGUCUAUCUAGUGGCUGUUCUGUCCUCUGACCCCAGACAAGUUUAUUAAGGUGCACAAUAUAUUGGGGGACACAAUAUAUCACCACACAUAUCUCAAUGGUUCCCUACACAUUAGCUGGUUAUACCCUAUGUUUUUAAGGAAACUGAAGCUCACCAAAAUGAAGAGGCUUUCCCCAUGAUCACAUGACAUGCUAGUAGUAGAACAGGGAGUUUUCAUCUCCCAUCCCAAACCUUCUCCUUUUUGUACAUCAGUGUGAAGAUUUUUGCUGAAAGAAUUCUUCUAUCUGUAGGACAAACAUAGUAUGUACUCACUCGUAAGUGGAUACUAGAUGUGAGGGAAGGGAUGGCCAGACUGCAACUCACAGCUCCAGAGAGGCUAGCUAACAGUGAAAGACCCUAGGAGGGUCACAUGGAUGACCCAGCGGAGAAGUGGAUGAGAGCUACAUGAGCAGACUGGGAGUGGAGGGGGUG